rnacentral:autocatalytically_spliced_intron from 1 species
AUCGGGAUAGGGGGCGGCCAGAGCCGCGCCCCUCCCACACCACCCGGCAUGCGGGUCCGCACCGGGCGGUUCGAGAAGUCGAGGUCAGGAGAGGCGUGGUAAGCCCAGACGAUCAAAGUAGGCAAUCGUCAACACAUUAUGUCCAGCAGACAGGCUGUUAUGCCACCAACGGCGGCUCAACGCUGCCACCGAUUGCGCCACACCCUGCUUGGCACCAAGACGAAGCAGCUCUCGGUAGAUCGUUUUACCACGCCGCCACUGCUUGAGCUGGAGGGCACGCAACCUGCGCCGUAUCCACUCGUCCAAUCUUCGCCAGACUCGCGGUAUCUGCGCCAGGCUAAAGUAGCCUUUCCAUCCCGGCAGGUAGCGGCGGAGCUUUUCGAUCACCUCGGCGAGGCUGCGCCCGCCAUUGCGGCGAGUACACUACCUGAUCCGUUGCUUGAACGCCUCCAGCGCUUUCUUCGAUACGCCACGGCGCACCUCGCCAUCGCGGUUUUGCCACAAGCAGUAGCCGAGGAAGCUGCGCCCAAACACGCCCGCCACUGCGCUUUUCGAUUCGUUGAUCUUCAGGCGUAGCUUGUCGUAGCAGCGUUUGAGCAGGGCCAUCACGCGCUCGCCCGCCUUCUGGCUGCGAACGUAGACGUUGCAGUCGUCGGCAUAACGGGCAAAGCGAUGUCCCCUGCGCUCAAGCUCCUUGUCCACCGCAUCGAGCAGCACGUUGGCCAGCAGUGGCGACAGCGGCCCACCUUGCGGCGUGCCUUCCAAUCGUUCGACCACCACACCGCCAUCCAUGAUCCCCGCAUUCAGAUAGGCCCGAACCAGCCGGAUCACUCCGGUGUCGUUCACCUGCCUCCUCAGUCGGUCGAUCAGGAUGUCGUGGUUGACCCGGUCGAAGAACCGGGACAGGUCGACGUCCACCACGAUGCAGUAGCCUUCCUGAGCGUACCGCUGGGCAGACAAAACCGCGUCCCAGGCCCGGCGACCAGGCCGGAACCCGUGGCUGUGCUCGCUGAACGAGGGAUCGAUCAGCGGUUGCAGCACUUGUAGCAGGGCCUGCUGGAUCAGACGGUCGGUCACGCUGGGGAUGCCCAGCUCACGCUCACUCCCGUCUGGCUUCGGUAUGCACACGCGCCGUACCGAUAAUGGCUGGUAGGUUCCCAUCAGCAGCUGCUGUCGGAUACUCGGCCAUACCUGCCUGAGAUGGGAUUCGGUCUGGUCUAUGUCCAGCCCAUCCACCCCAGCGGCUCCCUUGUUCGCCUUCACGCGCUUCCAGGCGCGCUGCAUGUUCUCCUUUGCGACAACCUGCUCCAGCAGGCGUCGCCCUGCGUCCUCCGAUCCUUGACGCGGGAGGUGUGCUUCAUCGCUGGACGGCUGUGACGGGGCUUCACCCCGACACUGCAUGACCCGCCCCGUUUCCACGGGCAUCUGAUGCAUGGCACGACUCAUCGACAAGACGUUGACGCUCCUUCUCGUUCGGCCCUUCGCCUCACGGCUACUACGGCCUCUGCUGACUCUUCGCUCCGGCUAUUCACCGUCGCUCUUUCAGGCAUAAGGCGAGAUCUCCCCAGGUAAGAACGCACUCCUUCACUGCACAACCGCAGGAUUUACGCCACCUCACCUUGGCCACGAGAGCUUCGCGGUUUCUCGCCCACUCGCCCUGCUCGGCAGCGCCUCAUAUCCGGUUCUUGUCCAUCGGCUCGCAGUUUCGCUCCACGCUUCCUCCCCACGCUCGGUCACCCUUACGCAGUUGCGCUUCGCUUCGUUCGCUGUGGCCAGCUCACGGGAGGACUGCACCUCCAAGAGUGCGCCCAUGCUGGGCGCACGAAAGAAGCCCCGCUCGGCGGGGCUUCUUCUCGAUCACUGAUAGCGACUUCGACUCAAGCGCUCCCACCAGUUCAGAAGCACACGGUC